rnacentral:misc_RNA from 1 species
AAAACAUCCUGCCACUGUCUAAAAAGUUAUCAAACAGACAAAUCAAAUUUUCCUACCUUCUCUUUUCAUCUCUGAAUCACCCAACCACAAACCUAUCAACAAAGUUAGCAUUGUCAUAAUCCCCUCAACAUGGUAUCAGUCAGCCUUCCAAUUCAUACGAACUGAAAAAAGUAGAGCUCGACUUUGAACAACUGUCGCAUCAGGUUUUGUUCUAUACCAAUCAUUCUAAGCUUAUAGCACCCAAAAAAACAUGAUAGUUGAUUG